GCAGACACAUUCCAGCCAAUCAGCAGCAGACCCUCCCUCCCAGACCCUCCCACCUCCUGGACAGCAUCCAUUUUACAUUCAUUGUGAAGCUGCAUUCUUAGUGUGCUGUCCAGGAGGUGGGAGGGUCUGGGAGGGAGGGUCUGCUGCUGAUUGGCUGGAAUGUGUCUG